AUUGAACGCUGGCGGCAUGCUUUACACAUGCAAGUCGAACGGUAACAGGCCGCAAGGUGCUGACGAGUGGCGAACGGGUGAGUAAUGCAUCGGAACGUGCCCAGUCGUGGGGGAUAACGCAGCGAAAGCUGCGCUAAUACCGCAUACGAUCUAUGGAUGAAAGCGGGGGACCGUAAGGCCUCGCGCGAUUGGAGCGGCCGAUGUCAGAUUAGGUAGUUGGUGGGGUAAAGGCUCACCAAGCCAACGAUCUGUAGCGGGUCUGAGAGGACGACCAUCCACACGCGGACUGAGACACGGCCAAGACUCCUACGGGAGGCAGCAGGGGGGAAUUUUUGACAAUGGGCGCAAGCCUGAUCCAGCAAUGCCGCGUGCAGGAAGAAGGCCUUCGGGUUGUAAACUGCUUUUGUACGGAGCGAAAAGGCUCUCUCUAAUACAGGGGGCUCAUGACGGUACCGUAAGAAUAAGCACCGGCUAACUACGUGCCAGCCGCCGCCGUAACAC
rnacentral:rRNA from 1 species